UACAGAGGAGCCAAGCGUUGUCCGGAUUGACUGGGCGUAAAGCGCACGCAGGCGGCCGCGCGCGUGGGUGUGAAAUCUGGCCGCUUAACGGCCAGGCGCCAUCCCAUACGGCGCGGCUGGAGCCAUGCAGAGGGCGGUGGAAUUCCCGGUGUAGCGGUGAAAUGCGCAGAUAUCGGGAAGAACACCCGUGGCUAAGGCGGCUCUCUAGUACGGUACUGGACGCUGAGACGCGAAAGCGUGGGGAGCGAACAGG
rnacentral:rRNA from 1 species